GUGCUCAAUUUCAGCAGCACAUAUACGAAAGUUAGAAUAAUAUGGAGAAGAUUAGUGUGAUCCCCUCACAAGAAUAAUAGGUAAAAAUCUGUGAAGCAUUCCAAAUUUUU